GCCUUCGUGGUGUGACUGAAAGCACACUCGACUCAUAUUCGGGAGGUCCAGAGUUCGAAUCCCAGUGAGGGCA
rnacentral:tRNA from 1 species